UGGUGAUGAUGGAGAAACUCAGUAGUAACAUUUUAAAUCUAUCUCAUGCGUGGGGAAAGCCUUCUCCUUCCUUUUGCUUAAAGCCCAAAAUCUCACUUCUUAAUUU